AUAAAAAGAGCCAUUUGCCUCUCUUCUCUGUCCCUCGUUUAGAUUCUGGAUGAAGAUGCUCUUUCUGGUGUCUGCUGCUGUUUUGUCUCCUGUUCGCAGAUUGUCACUGUUGCCAGACUGCUCCUGAAACGACCUCCCCAGCCCUCCAAGGGAUGUUACUGCCUCUUCAUUCUGUCCCUGCCACCUAAAUGGACCUGCCAUCCAUCACUGAGCAGUUUCCCAGACUCAUAGUUGGUUUCAAGGUCCUUUGUUAAUUUUCUCCUGUCUCUCUUGAAUCACUACUUUGGGGGAAGUCAGCCUCCUUGUCAUGAAGAAACUCAGGCAGCCAAUGGAAACAAGCCCAUGGUGAGGAACUGAGGCCUGAGGACCGACACCUGGACUGUGAAUUUGUAAGAACCUGAGUCAGAACCAUCCAGAUAAAGCACACCUGGAUUCCUGAGCCUCA